UACGAAGGGGGCUAGCGUUGUUCGGAAUCACUGGGCGUAAAGGGCGCGUAGGCGGCUUUAUAAGUCGGGGGUGAAAGCCUGUGGCUCAACCACAGAAUUGCCUUCGAUACUGUAGAGCUUGAGACCGGAAGAGGUAAGUGGAACUGCGAGUGUAGAGGUGAAAAUUCGUAGAUAUUCGCAAGAACACCAGUGGCGAAGGCGGCUUACUGGUCCGGUUCUGACGCUGAGGCGCGAAAGCGUGGGGAGCAAACAGG
rnacentral:rRNA from 1 species